GAUGAACGCUGGCGGCGUGCUUAACACAUGCAAGUCGAACGAUGAAGCCCAGCUUGCUGGGUGGAUUAGUGGCGAACGGGUGAGUAACACGUGAGUAACCUGCCCUUAACUCUGGGAUAAGCCUGGGAAACUGGGUCUAAUACCGGAUAGGAGCGUCCACCGCAUGGUGGGUGUUGGAAAGAUUUAUCGGUUUUGGAUGGACUCGCGGCCUAUCAGCUUGUUGGUGAGGUAAUGGCUCACCAAGGCGACGACGGGUAGCCGGCCUGAGAGGGUGACCGGCCACGCUAGGACUGAGACACGGCCCAGACUCCUACGGGAGGCAGCGGUGGGGAAUAUUGCACAAUGGGCGCAAGCCUGAUGCAGCGACGCCGCGUGAGGGAUGACGGCCUUCGGGUUGUAAACCUCUUUCAGUAGGGAAGAAGCGAAAGUGACGGUACCUGCAGAAGAAGCACCGGCUAACUACGUG
rnacentral:rRNA from 1 species